ACCAUGGUGCUCUAACAUACUGGGACUAUGAAGGAUGGUCAAGAGAACUGCAGACUUGCCUACUGGGACCCUAUCAGACUGUGGGAUCAGCAACACCACAUCCCCACUUCCAUUUUUCUUGCUAGAAACCGCAUGCCAGUGUGACCUGCCACCCACUGUCCUCCUAUUGAAAACACAAGAACAAGCUCUUCUUGAACAGGGUGGAAUCUUACAGCAUUCCCCUUUCUUCUUGAACACAUAUUUUCAGUGUUGAUAAGCCUUGAACAAUUGGUCCCAUGGCUUUGGGUCCGCAGAGAAGCAUGCCUUAGUGAAAGCCCAGGACAGUGCAAAAUCUCCAGCUUCAACCAAGGACAAGACAGGAAAGGAGAAAGAAAGAGAGUGGGGGUGCCAUUAUCCCUUUCCAGGAAGAUCCGAAGACCCCUCAGUAAACUCCACCCCACAACAGCAUCAAGCAUGGGAACAAGAUUUUCCAAGUGAAUCUUGGGGGGAUGCGAUGAUUGCUGUCACAUCAACUUGACACAACCCGGAGUCACCAGGGAGACAGUUGCUGGGAGGGGGUGUCCUGGGCUCCGGGCAGGCCAUCAAGGGCUUAUCUUACCCAGGUUAAUUGUUGGAAGAAAACCCACUUAACCGGGGGCAGGACCAUUUCCUGUGCGUGAGACCUGGACGGUACAAACUGGAGAAAGUGAUCUGAGUCCCUUGCACUGCUCUUUCCUGGCUGUGGGUGUGACCUGAGAAGCCACCUCAAGCUCUUGCUUCCAUUCCUUAUGAGUCAUGUUGUUCUGUACCCUUGAACUCUGAGCCAAAACAAAUCCUUUCUCCGCUCAGUUGUGUUUGCCGGGGUGUUUUAUCCCAGUUACAGGAAAAGAAACCAAGACUGGCAUAUCUAUACAAACCACAGUGAAUACUUGAGGAGCCUGGGAAGAAGUGACCAAAGACGUAAGAGAAAACUCAGAAGAAAGCAGGGCCCCUGAGACUGAGUCAGGAGACUUUCUGGAAGGAGGGAGCUCACAUUGUACAAUGCCUCUGCAAUAACUGAGGAAAGAUGUGCUUAUAGACCUUGGGAAAAAGAAGAGAACCAGGAUAUGGCCAGUGAGCAUCAAGACAGGAGCAUGGACACCGCUGGUCCAUACAUAGAAACCGGAGGAAAUGGGCAAAGGCAGACUGGUGGUGUUACCUCACUUCCCCAAGUGUAACCUCUGAGCCCCUGGUGAUCUGCUUUUGUGACCUGUGGAAUUUUCUGCCUAUUGUUUUAAUGCCUUGUGGCCUAUAUAUUGUGUGAUUUAUUUAUUUAUUUUUUUGGUACAGCUGUUUGUCUGUUUGUUUAGUGUGUUUGUACCUGUGAAGACACAGCACUAUGCCUAUGUGGGCAGAGGCCAGCUUGCAAGAGUGGGUUCUCUUUUUCCAUCAUGUGGGUCCUGGUGUUAGAUCACCAGGCUUGGCACCUGUACUGUCCCU